AGCCUUAAGUUUAAUUUAAGGUGAGACCUGCCCAGUGCAAUAAUGUAAAUGGCCGCAGUACCUUGACUGUGCUAAGGUAGCAUAAUCAGUUGGCUUUUAAAUGGAGUCGGGAAUGAAUGGAUUAAUGGAAUAAGGCUGUCUCUUUUACAUUAAUUUGAAUUUACUUAUUAGGUGAAAAUUCCUAUAUUUAGAAAAAAGACGAGAAGACCCUAGGAGUUUUAACUAAUAGUUAUUUCUAACUUAUGUUUUGGUUGGGGCGACGUUGGAGAAUUAUAACCUCCUAUAAUUUAUUUGCCGAUAAAAUAUGAUAAUAUAAACUACCCUAGGGAUAACAGCGUAAUUCUUUUUAGAGCUUGCGACCUCGAUGUUGGACUAGGAAUUUAAUAGGCUAGUCGCUUAUUUAUAUUGUUCUGUUCGAACAAAUUUCUCCU
rnacentral:rRNA from 21 species